GACGAACGCUGGCGGCGUGCUUAACACAUGCAAGUCGAGCGGAAAGGCCCCUUUGGGGGUACUCGAGCGGCGAACGGGUGAGUAACACGUGAGUAACCUGCCCCUGACUCUGGGAUAAGCCUGGGAAACUGGGUCUAAUACCGGAUGUGACUGCCGGCCGCAUGGUCUGGUGGUGGAAAGUUUUUUCGGUUGGGGAUGGGCUCGCGGCCUAUCAGCUUGUUGGUGGGGUAGUGGCCUACCAAGGCGA
rnacentral:rRNA from 1 species